rnacentral:sRNA from 1 species
CCAUGCAGCAUACACGCCCCCUGAUGACCCACCCGACGCAACAAAACUUCGACCCUUUGCUGAGUUAAUUUUGCAAAGGUCGAUGUGCGGAAGGUUAUAUUAUUCCACGUGGGGAACUCCCACAGCCCUGAAGUCUCAUGGCCGGGCAUUUCUGGAACUUCAAUGACGUGUUUGCCGACAUAAUUGAAAAAUUCCAGAUUACACCUGAAUUAUUUGGAGAAUUUUUUUGAUUUGAAGCACCCGAACAAUAUUUAAGGAGACUGUUACUCGGGCCGAUUGGGACAUGAGUAAAGUUCCAUA